UCCGCCUCGACAUAAAAAAGCCGACGCGUCUCUUCCACCACCCACCAUCCCCAUCUCCCACCUUCUCUCCUUCCCCCCAACUCGCCUCCUCCGCCGCCGCCGCCGCCACCGGCGGCGACUUCCCAUAUCUCCGGAGGCCUACCCUUCCCACCGCCGCAUCCUCGAUCUGCGUGCUGCCACCGCGACGAACCCCUGUAGCGGUCGCCUCCUACUCGGUAGAACCCUAGAUCCCCCCGAUACCCCGCGCCCCUCUCCGCCGCCGCCGCCGUCCCGGCUGACGGUAUGAAAGUGACCGACGAUCUCCAGUAAGAUCCCGGAGAUUAGGAGUCCAGCUUCGCGAUGGCGAUCCGCAUCACCAUGUCGUACUCCGGCUAUGUGGCGCAGAGCCUGGCCUCGUCUUUUGGCCUGCGCUGCACCGCCGCCGCCGCCGCCUCCUCCGGUGCGGCGCCGGGGGCUGGGGCUCGCUUCCUCCAGGACGCGCUCUCCCGCCCCUUCUGCCUCUUCGCUUCCUCCCGCCACUCCGAGUACCACCAUGACGCCGACGAUCACAACCAUCCGAAGCCCAAGCCCAAGCCCAAGGCAAAGGCUCUCCCCGCCGCCUCCGCCAUCGCCGCCAAUGGAGGGGGCCAUUCGCUGCUCCUCUCGCGGUCGUGCGCAACGAAGGCUCCGGUGAAUGACCCGCCAUCAUCGCUGGCCAUCGGGUUGCUGAUGGUGUUCACCUCCGGGAUGGGCUCCGCUACUGGCCGCGUGGGCGCCUCAUCGCUCUCGGCGUCGCCGUCAAUAUCGUCAGCGUUCAACCCCGCGGCGCUCCUCCCAUUCCUGCAGGCGACCAAGUGGCUCCCUUGCAGUGACCUCAUCACCUCCGCGGCGCCAUCCCGCAAAUCGGCUCGCCCAGUUGAUGUAGCUAAAGCGCCCACUGCUGCGCCUGCUGCUACGCCUGUGUCACGAACUAAGCCUGCACCUGCGCCUUCGCCCCGUCCUGCACAUGUGCCCUCGCCUGCGGUGGCUGCCCCUUCUAAGGUGGGCGUGAAAGCAUUGGUUGGUAGUGGUGUAAUCAACUCCGGCGUAAUCAACUCCAGUGGUGCCUCUUCUAAUGUGGGCGUGGGCGUGAAACCAUUGGUUGGUAGUGGCGCAAUUAACUCCGGUGCUGCUGGAAUGGUGAGAAAGAGCAGUCCUGCACUUGGUGCUGCUGCAGAGGUGAGCAGGAGGAACUGGCUAUCAAGGUGGGUGAGCUCCUGUUCGGAUGAUGCCAAGACUGUCUUUGCCGCUGUGACUGUGCCACUGUUAUAUAGAUCAUCCUUAGCUGAGCCAAGGUCCAUCCCAUCCAAGUCUAUGUAUCCGACAUUCGAUGUUGGUGACCGAAUCCUUGCCGACAAGGUUUCAUACGUUUUCCGGGAGCCUAAUAUUUUGGACAUUGUGAUCUUCCGUGCCCCCCCAGUUCUGCAGGCCUUGGGGUGCAGUUCAGGAGAUGUAUUCAUCAAGAGAAUUGUGGCCAAGGGUGGGGAUACCGUUGAAGUACGUGAUGGUAAAUUAUUGGUUAAUGGAGUAGUCCAGGAUGAGGAAUUUGUGCUGGAGCCACUCAACUAUGAAAUGGAUCAAGUGACUGUUCCUCAAGGUUACGUGUUUGUGCUGGGGGACAACAGAAACAACAGCUUCGAUUCACAUAAUUGGGGACCUCUCCCUGUGAAGAACAUUCUUGGCAGAUCUGUGCUUCGAUACUGGCCUCCAUCGAAAAUAACAUACGGUCUUUGAGCAUGAUGCAGUUCACUGCACAGCAGGCAUCUCCUGAGAAAUAUUUAUUGUGGCAGACCAGAAACCAAUCCAUUCUUUUGGCCGAGCUUCAAUGUGAGCUGAGCCACAUUUCCUCUUAAUUUUUGUUAUGCUGGACGUCGCCUUGCCUCAAAUACCCUUUGGCAGAUGGGCUGACUAUCAGUUUUUUUGCCUGCCCUGGUGGCAGAUGCUUGGUUAAAAGGCAGCAAUUCCUGUACUCAGUAAUGUAAGAAGGCACCUCCUUCAUAUUUAUAAAACGCGGAUAAAUGAACAUCCAUAGUUGUAGGCUUAGCUCCGGAUGAUCUGUUUCAGACACAAGGAGAGUGGGCGUCAGAUGAUGUUCAAAUCUUAGUGUAAAAGAAAUAGAAAGCAUGAUGCAUUGUUCCUCGUCAAGCCUUGUCAAUUUAUGCGGUGUUGAUUGAAAGUGAAUUGAUGUAUUAUUCCUGUGUGGUUUGUACCGGUAUGAUGGUAAAUUUUGCUCUUGUACAA